ACGGUUCUGCAACAUAUUUGCAAGAACAGACUAGGGGAAUGAUGUGAAGGGAGCUGGUAUUUGCUUUAUCAUAGUCACAGUUUAGUUCCUGUAAAUUCAAGGCCAUAUUGGUAUGUAAGUCAGUGGGGUUUUGCUCUAAAGGUUUUGCUAGCAUCAGAGCAAUUUAGUCCUUCUGGUUACAAAUUAGAUGAUGAUUUUCAAAAUGUAAUCAUAAAAUGUAUGAAAGGCUAGCAGACUAAGAAAAGAGAAUAACAGUUCAAGUAUGACAGUAGACUUAAGAACUGAAUAGAUAGAUGUUCUGAGGUCAGCAACGUAAUGUUCAACAAAAGGCUCCAUGUCCAUUUGAAAUAAGACAGGUAAGAAUUGGCUUGGUCUGCAGGGAAAAAAAAAAAAGAAAAAAAAAUUAGUAUGUUAGUUUAGAUCGAUAAGCAUAUAAGUAAACAUUUGCACAAGCCACAGUGAGAGUAGUAAUAUUUCAUCCUACACUGGAGACUAUUUUUGAAGAUACAAGUAUGUGAGUAAUGGCCAAGAUGUUUUCAAGUCCUAGAUGACAAUGGGUUGCAGUAAAGAUCAGUAAGAGAAAAGUCUUCACCAGGAGUGGGUAGACUUUUUCAAAGGUUCUCCAGCUGCAAAAUUACAGAUUCAAAUCAGAAAAGAUGAUAAUUUAAAAUACUAAUGCAAAGGUGCCAGAGGAUACUGGGAUGAAAAAUUGCAUUGCCGUGAUGCGAGGAGAUCUGUCUGGCUCUAUACACUGUCCCAAGAGGACAAGGAUUGGAUUCCUCUGAAUGUGCAACUGACACUUCCUACAAAGGAACCUUGAAGGUGGCCAAGGUCAUCGCAGCAGACUGCAAACUGAUUGAAGCCUCUGAGGAGAUCCAUUUUUUGAAGAUCUGGACCGUUGGUUCCUGAAGCUUUCUGGUGAUAGCCUCAGACUCUUCAGGUCUGUGGAGGAAAUUACAUCUACUAGAACUGGAGUUACUUCAGAGAAGUAGCUGUACAAGGGAUGACUGCUGGCACUUCAUUUCAAAUUGAUAAAAAAAAAAAAAAGGAAAUUCUUAACAGACUUCAAAGGUUGUUGAAGAGAUGACUGUCUUCUGGAAGGCCACCAGGAAAGGUUGAGUUACUUUCUUUUAAUUUAUGUCCAAGAAGUUAACAAAAUUAUGGGAUGCGAGGGUGGGAGAUGUGGAUAGAGUUGGAUUACUGGUUUACAGUGAAGCAAGAUGAUCCAGGGAAUGGAACCCCUCCCCUAUGAGGACAGGCUGAGAGCUGAGAGAAGGUGCCGGGGUGACCUGAGAGCAGUCUUUCGGUAUCUAAAGUGAGGAUAUGAAAGAAGGGGACACAAUCUUUAACAGGGUCUGCUGAGAUAAGACAAGGGGAAAUAGUUUCAAACUAAAAGAGGGGAAAUUUAGAUUGGAUAUAAGUAAGAAGUUUUUUACAAUAAGAGUUGUGAGGCACUGGCACAGGUUGCCCAGAGAAGUGCUGGAUGCCCCAUCCGUGGCAACAUUCAAGGUCAGGCUCUGUCCACCUGAUGUAGCUGUAGGUGACCCUGUUCCUUGCAGGGGAGUUGGACUAGAUGAUCUUUAAGAAUCCCUUCCAACUCAAACAGUUCUGUGAUUUUAUGAAAUAUAAUGCUGAUCUUUAAAAAUAGAUAAAAAAUCAAGAGUCUAGAUAGGUGCUGCUUACAUUAAAUCUCUACCUUAGUUACAUUCAUGCAAAAUCAUUGGAGGAGGAAAAAAAUGUUAAUCUCAAAGCUAUCAUCUUGCAAAAGCACAUGCCUCACUGAAAUUAUCAUAAAGCCACAUGUAUAACAUUAUCUCAGUGCAUGUGUAUGAGAAAUGGUUCUUAUGGGCAGCUAGGUAAAUGCAGUUAGUAAACAAGAUAAAAGUGAGAAAAGCCUGUAUAAUUUUAAAUCUGUUAAUAAACUCUUCUAUUUUCUUUGGAAAAAAGUACUCUCUGUUUCAUACAGUGAAGAAGUCUUCCCUCAAAACAGACCCAUCCAACACCGAAACUAGUUUGUUAAGAAAAGCUUUAUUUGUAUCCUAAGGAAGAUUUGGUAUUGUAAAGAUUUCAAAUGGAUAUGUAUUUCUUCUCGAAACAGCAUGGAAACCUCUUAUACAUUGCUCCAUUGAACAAUACUUUGGUUGUAACUGCUAAAGGCUAGAAGAGAAAAAUCUUAUUUUAUUAGUAAUCAUUGCCACCUAAAACAAGUCUACUAGUUUAUGGUAAAAAUCAGUUGGGAAAAAAAAAAAAAGGAAUUUGAAUACUUAGGUCUCGUUAUGUCAGCCCAAGUUCAAGCCUGUAGUAAUCUAAAAAUAAACCUGUUUUUUGGGCAUGCUGAAUAGUGUUACUGGCAGUAAACUGAGGAGCCAAAACCAACGUGGUGAAUUAGUUCAUGUCAAGGGCCAAAAAGAUUUAUUUCCUUGUGUGCUGUUAAGCUUAUCUUCAGCUAUCAUGCUCAGAUAUCUGUUCCUAACCUGUAAGUUACUGAGUCAGUUGCCAGAAAGUCAGAGUUAAAUUUUUGUAACUAAGCCUACCUUAUGCUUUCAUAAAACAUAAUAUAUAGCCUGCAGAAAAAUAUUUUGUGGUGUACAUACAUACCCCUUUCUAAUGCAAUUACAUUACACAUAAAUACAUACCCCUUAGACAAAGGUAAUACACCAUGAUAUUCAAGACACAAUGUGUUCUGUGAGUCCCAUUUCAUAAGAUCUGAACUUUAAUCAUACAAGGCCUUCUUAUCCUACAGCUAUAAUGGAAGUCCAGGGACAAGCCUGGGUGCUACAUCAAACAAAGAUGAGCUAACUCAAAAUACAGGAGAAAAGCACAUGCCAGAAUGCUUUUUCCUGGCUGGAAAAUAGUCAUAAGGAUUAAAAACAUUAAAAAAAAAAAAAAGAAAGAAAGAAAUUUAAAAAGGUUGUACUUUAGCAUUGGGCAAAAACUGCGAGCUGAGUAAAACAUUUAUUUUACAGGGCUCUCAUCUUCUAUGGUCUGUUUGGCAAUUCCAAAAACAUUUUAAACUGGUAGAUAGAUCUCAGCAAAGAAAAUUGCUUUUAUAAGUAAGUUAAAAUUUGUGGGUAAAGGAAAGAACUUCAAGUUAAUACCUCCUGCCUUUUCUUCUCCAUUCUCCUUUGUAGAGUCUGAGCUUUGCAGAUGUCAUGUCUGACUGGCUCAUGAGCUGACUGAUCUAAAUGCUGUAUUAGCCAGCCAAUUGAGUAUAUAUUAACCCUGGCCUAGUUUUUAAUUAGUUAAGAGAAGAAUUUGUGAGUAUGGAAAGUAUUAAAUUAGAAAAUAUGGGAAAAACUAGGAGUGUUGGAAAAAGUGUGCUAAGAGAGAACGUAAGGUCAGGCACUGAGAGCUAUUGCACACGAAAGCAUAGUAAAUUUGGGCUUAUUGUGGAAUUAGUUUCUUUAUUAUGGAAAUGUGAACUUUUGACAUUUUACAUGAAAUUCCAGUAUUUAUAGACAUUUGCUUGAAUAAAUAAACUUGCUCACACAUGCCUGUGUAUUUAAAAUAGCUAGAAAUUAUUCUGUAGCAUAGGUUAUUAUGUAUGUUAUAACAAGGUGAUUAUUAAUUUCUGUUUCCUUUCAUGCACUGACCUGUCUCCAGCAAGCAGAGUGAGUUGUCAAAACAGAAAAAUAAAGUUUCAGGUCCCCAGAACAACAGACAUUUCCACAGCAAGUAUAAAGGAACUGCAGUGCUACCAUCUUACAUCCAUCUCACCAAAGGAAAACUAGAUUGAAUUAUUAUUGAAAGAAAAUACCAAAGUAAUAAUAAACUCUAUUUUAGAAGAAGUUUAUUGACACUUUAUAGUCACAGAAAAAUUUUGGUGACUAAUGGUGACUUUGGCAGAUGCAAUCAUUUUUGAAUGAUUUAGCUCUCUGGGAAACAUCUAACCUAAUUCAUUUCACACAGUACAUUGUUAUGUGUAUAUUAAAUGGUUGGCUCGUCUUUAUCAAGACAAUUAUAAUAAAAACUUUAACUAGUUCCUCACUUAUGAAGUUAUAAUAUUCACAACCUCAUUUCAGUAAGUUAGAAACUGACAAUAUAUUGAGAAUUAGCGUCUAAAAAUCCCAUCUUUAACUGAGAAGUUGACUUACAUAGGGCAUUUUGAAUAUUAUGAGUUUUAAGUAGAAAAAAAAUUGUAUUCAAAAACACCUGAUUUUCAAAGUAUACGUCCUAUCUUUGAUAUAGUGGAUCUUAAGGACAUUUUAAAAUUUCUAUGUGGCAUUAUUAUUUCACAGUCAGAUUCUAAUUGCAACAUUUAUUAAACAGCAAUGUGGAUCAAACAAAAUUAUAGAACAUUUUUUUCAGAAUAAGUAAUCUCAUUGAAAGGAACACAUGUUGCUAAAUUUUAUUUGUUGUAAGAUCAUUUCCAAUAAGAGAAAAUUUCACUUCUUGCUUUCUUGAUUUGGUUCCGUGAUAAAAUAUUUUCAUAAGUUAUGAAAUGAUUUUUCUUUAUUUGGCAUUUAAGUUUAUGCAUCUAUCAAUACUAUGAACUAACUUACUGAAAUGAUUACUAAAUUUUACAAAAUAAAUAUUUCUAUUUUGAUAUAAUUUUUCAUAGUUCGGGUUCUUUCCAGAAUUUGUAAUUUUAACAGCUUCCUAUACUAGUAUCACAACUAGUUUAAACAUGAAAUUUCAAUUUAAUAUGUAUCUUCUGCAUUGUCAUGGAAAUCAAGCUAAGAAAUUCUGAAAUUAUGUAGAUAAUCAAUGGAGUAUUUUUUAUAUUCCAAGUAUGAGUUUUCAUGCAUUAGAGAAAUAUUUCUUCAGUUUGUUUCCCUUAAACUUGUUUGGAUUUCAAAACUUAAAUGACUAAUUCUGAUCUUCAGUUUUAUAGUUUCACUAGCACUUGUUCAAACAAAAUUUAUGAUUAUCUUUCAGUCAUAAAUUUUAAAAUAUAUUUGCUAUCCUGGCCCAGUGAAGCUACUGACAGUAGAGUGAUUAUCAGAAGUUAGCAACGACAUGCCUAAAGUGAUGCAUUAGUACAACUAUUGAGUUAUGUCUUCCAUAGUUACAGAUGUUGUUUUUUUCUGUUCAAGAAGUGUUUCUAAAUUCAACAUUCAGAAAAAAUAAAAGGUGUUUUUUUUUUUUUUUUUCCCUACAAUGUUUUUUAUGUGCACAUGAAAUUGUCUUUUCAGGAAACACACUGGACUGCUCAUUUAUCAAAUUUCCCAGUAAGUCCUUUGGGGGCUUUCAUUCAGCUCUCUUGAAAAUGAUGAGCUUCUCAAAGAAUUAAAACUUCUCCAAACUG